ACUCCAUUUCCAGAUAACCUCAACUGGAUAACCAAGAAUCUUCAUAGCUAGUUUGGAUGUGUUAUUUACAUUUUGUCUAAAUCACUCCUCUUUCAAAGGACCUUCAGAGCCAGUGACAGUAUGAAGAAAUAGCCAGCCUAAAUAACCUCACCAUUUAGUUACCAGAGGUUUCUUUGAAUUAAGCCUGAGUAGUGCUGCUAAAGAAUAACUUAGAAGAACCUACAGUAACUGAAAUCCAUAGCUUAAGACUUGGAAAACAAAGCCUGGGUCCCAGCACUGAAAAACACAGCCUGCAAAAGGUCAACGAACUCUACUCAGCCACAAGGACCAGUGAUCACUGCACACAAAAGACCAGCUAAUGACACCCAUCAAUCACAGUGACAGAUAAUCUCUCCCCCUUAUCACAACAAUACACCCACAAAAAAAAACUUGCUGAUCACCAUAAUCACUCAAUCUCCAGAACAGGACAAAAAGCUGAUCCCACAGCUAUAAAUACUUAACUAUCCCACAAACUGCACCAGAGUUCGGACUCCUGUCCUCUGAAGAUGCCAGCAACAGAGACUGGCAAAAGGUUAGGAAGAAAAACCUCAAGAACACGGCCAGACAGCCCGAAAAAUAUACAACAACCACUUGGAAAACAGUUAGGAAUUCACAGUAUUACUAUAUUUCUAAAAGGGUGGGAUUGCAAAAGAUGAAUGAGGAAGUGGACAUUUAUGUAUCUUGGCAGGGCAGAAUGAAGUAAUACAGGUUCUUGAUUUCUGUCUUGAGGGAAGCAUCUUUCACAAACAUGACAGUUGACUUUUCCCCUGUUUUCCUAACUUAUUUAAAUGAAAUUCAGCAGCUUUUUGCCCCAUCUCCAUCUCACCACACCAAAGGCACCAUGAAGACAUUUGGCAGCUUGCUCCUUGUGAGCAUCAUGAUCCUUUGGGUUGAAAUGCCGUGUGGAACGUUGGAACAGGAGACAGAAGGAAGGCUUCGGAUUUGCCCAAUAGAUCUAUGUAGAUGCAGUGGUCCUCUACCUGACGAGUGCACAGAUCAUUUUUCUUGCAAAAGAGGGCUGGUUUGUUGUUAUUCUUGCUGUAAAAAGCGCUGUGUGAAGCCAGCAACAGAAAAACCUGGUCAAUGUCCUCCUGCUAUCGCAAUUGCAUGUUUGAAACCACAGAGAGAUGAAUGCAGAGUGGAUGCUCAAUGUCCACGUAAACAGAAAUGUUGUUAUAAACCCUGCCGUCUCAGUUGUGUAGAUCCAAUAUAAAGUGAAAUCCAGGCACUGUUUGCCCCAUCUCCAUCUCGCCACACCAAAGGCUUCUUGCAAGGCUCGCUUCCGACAGAGACGAAAGACCAUUUUAGACAGCACCAUGAAGACAUUUGGCAGCUUGCUCCUUGUGAGCAUCAUGAUCCUUUUGGGUGAGAUGCCAUGCCGUACACUGGAACAAGAUAUAG
rnacentral:lncRNA from 1 species